GACGAACGCUGGCGGCGUGCCUAACACAUGCAAGUCGAGCGGGGAAUCCCUUCGGGGGUUUCCAGCGGCGGACGGGUGAGUAACGCGUGAGCAACCUUUCCUUCACAGGGGGAUAACGCAGCGAAAGCUGUGCUAAUACCGCUUAAGACCACAAUGUCGCAUGACGAAGGGGUCAAAGGAGAAAUCCGGUGAAGGGUGGGCUCGCGUCUGAUUAGCUAGUUGGUGAGGUAACGGCCCACCAAGGCAACGAUCAGUAGCCGACCUGAGAGGGUGAUCAGCCACACUGGGACUGAGACACGGCCCAGACUCCUACGGGAGGCAGCAGUGGGAAUAUUGGGCAAUGGGGGAAACCCUGACCCAGCAACGCCGCGUGAGGGAAGAAGGUUUUCGGAUCGUAAACCUCUGUCCUCAGGGACGAAAUAAAUGACGGUACCUGAGGAGGAAGCCCCGGCUAACUACGUGCCAGCAGCCGCGGUAAUACGUAGGGGGCAAGCGUUGUCCGGAAUGAUUGGGCGUAAAGGGCGCGUAGGCGGCCUGUUAAGUCUGGAGUGAAAGUCCUGCUUUCAAGGUGGGAAUUGCUUUGGAUACUGGCGGGCUGGAGUGCAGGAGAGGUUAGUGGAAUUCCCGGUGUAGCGGUGAAAUGCGUAGAGAUCGGGAGGAACACCAGUGGCGAAGGCGACUAACUGGACUGUAACUGACGCUGAAGCGCGAAAGUGUGGGGAGCAAACAGGAUUAGAUACCCUGGUAGUCCACACGGUAAACGAUGAAUGCUAGGUGUAGGGGGUAUCGACCCCUUCUGUGCCGGAGUAAACACAAUAAGCAUUCCGCCUGGGGAGUACGGCCGCAAGGUUG
rnacentral:rRNA from 1 species